AUGACUUCUCCGGGAUCUACAAGAUCAACGGCUAGGGCGCAUCGCUGCUGCGCGUGUACCGCCAGCACCACGAGCGCAACGCCUGGGGGCUCCGCCGGCCACAGCAGUCCGCGCGCCUUAGCCUGGAUCCCCAUGCGUCGUCUACCCCGAUGGCGUGAGGGUGCGGACCUGAGGAAUGUGGCUGGGGACGAGGUUUGGCGGCUCCAAGGUUCGUCACCAACGUCCACGUCUCCACAAGCCCAACGAUCAGAAGCAGGCAUCCAUAUGGAGGGAUCCUUCCCUGGUUACGCUGGAGGAAGGGCUCGAACCGAGUGCGCUGCCUCCGUCUCUCUCUGGCUCCACUGCUGGUCUCCGUUGUCUGACCCUCGGCAGGCCCUCUUCCCCUCCUCCGUUUUCUACAAAAAAACAGCCAACAAAGCAUCAAUAUUAGAUGAGGCGAUUGAGUACUUAAAGUCCCUCCAAAUGCAACUUCAGGUUAGGAGUUUACUGCCUCCUCUACCUGUACCCACAGACAUAGCCCCAUAUGACAUCAUUUUUUUUUUGAGAGAAAUAUGUGGCAUCAAUUAUUCGUACCUAAUUGAGACUGAAAUCUACAUCAGAUUAUGUGGAUGA
rnacentral:rRNA from 1 species